GACGAACGCUGGCGGCGUGCUUAACACAUGCAAGUCGAACGGAAAGACCCUGCUUUUGUGGGGUGCUCGAGUGGCGAACGGGUGAGUAACACGUGAGUAACCUGCCCUUGACUUUGGGAUAACUUCAGGAAACUGGGGCUAAUACCGGAUAGGAGCUCCUGCUGCAUGGUGGGGGUUGGAAAGUUUCGGCGGUUGGGAUGGACUCGCGGCUUAUCAGCUUGUUGGUGGGGUAGUGGCUUACCAAGGCUUUGACGGGUAGCCGGCCUGAGAGGGUGACCGGCCACAUUGGGACUGAGAUACGGCCCAGACUCCUACGGGAGGCAGCAGUGGGGAAUAUUGCACAAUGGGCGGAAGCCUGAUGCAGCAACGCCGCGUGCGGGAUGACGGCCUUCGGGUUGUAAACCGCUUUCGCCUGUGACGAAGCGUGAGUGACGGUAAUGGGUAAGAGGCACCGGCUAACUACGUG
rnacentral:rRNA from 1 species